CCCUUAGAUGUUCUGGGCUGCACGCGUGCUACAAUGAAGCGUCCAACAAGAUGCGAAACCGAAAGGCUCAGCGGAUCUUUGAAGUCGUUUCGUGACCGGGACAGUUGAUUGCAAUUAUUCGACUCGAACGAGGAAUUCCUUGUAAUCGCGAUUCAUCAUAUCGCGCUGAAUACGUCCCUGCCCUUUGUACACACCGCCCGUCGCUCCUACCGAUUGAGCGAUCCGGUGAAUUAUUUGGAGUGUCCACACAAGCCAAUCCGUUUACGUGGGUGCGAAAUUUUGUAAACCUUAUCGCUUAGAGGAAGGAAAANUCGUAACA
rnacentral:rRNA from 1 species